UACGUAGGGGCCGAGCGUUGUCCGGAGUUACUGGGCGUAAAGGGCGCGCAGGCGGUUGGUUACGGCGUGUGUGAAAGCCCCCCGCUCAACGGGGGAGGGUCGCGCGCAACGGGCCGACUGGAGGCAGGGCGAGGGCGGUGGAAUUCCCGGUGUAGUGGUGAAAUGCGUAGAGAUCGGGAGGAACACCAGAGGCGAAGGCGGCCGCCUGGACCUGACCUGACGCUGAGGCGCGAAGGCGUGGGGAGCGAACGGG
rnacentral:misc_RNA from 1 species